UCCGAGUUGACCCCGGCAGUCUCAUAUGAGUUCCCACCAUCACGUGCUGGCAACAUACGACGAGGGUUGCGCUCGUUGCGGGACUUAACCCAACAUCUCACGACACGAGCUGACGACAACCAUGCACCACCUGUAUACGAGUGUCCAAAGAGUUCCCUAUUUCUAGGGCGUUCUCGCAUAUGUCAAGCCUUGGUAAGGUUCUUCGCGUUGCAUCGAAUUAAUCCACAUGCUCCGCCGCUUGUGCGGGCCCCCGUCAAUUCCUUUGAGUUUUAGCCUUGCGGCCGUACUCCCCAGGCGGGGCGCUUAAUGCGUUAGCUACGGCACGGAUCCCGUGGAAGGAAACCCACACCUAGCGCCCACCGUUUACGGCGUGGACUAC
rnacentral:misc_RNA from 1 species